rfam:Cellulomonas gilvus ATCC 13127 chromosome, complete genome.
AGCAUCGCGGAGCUCGACCGCCCGUCGACCAGGUAGUGGCGUUCAUCGACGCCCACCGCGCCGAGUUCGGGGUCGAGCCGAUCUGCACCCUGCUGCAGGUCGCCCCG